rnacentral:rRNA from 1 species
UACGGAGGGUGCAAGCGUUAAUCGGAAUUACUGGGCGUAAGCGCACGCAGGUGGCUGAGUCAGUCGAUUGUGAAAGCCCUGGGCUUAACCUGGGAAUUGCAGUCGAUACUACUCAGCUAGAGUAUGGGAGAGGGCAGUGGAAUUCCCGGUGUAGCGGUGAAAUGCGUAGAGUAUCGGGAGGAACAUCAGUGGCGAAGGCGGCUGCCUGGCCCAAUACUGACCACUCAGGUGCGACAGCGUGGGAGCAACAG